rnacentral:lncRNA from 1 species
UUCACCAUAAAUUUUACAAAGAUAAUUAGAAGUCAUGGUUUAUAUUUACGGAUUCCUUAUUGAGUCUAGUUUUAUUAGAGACAAACGGCAUAGUCAUUGAAGCUCUGUAGAGGGAGAUAUAUGAUUCGUAAUACACAGAGGUCAGAGUAGUCGAACCCUGAAAUAGGGGAGACUUUAACUAAUAAACUGUACUAAUUGCCU